GGCUGUGUAGCUCAAUAGGCUAGAGCGCGUAAAAUCUAUCUAUUUUAGAUAGUAACAGCUACACAUUUUUCCAUUAUAAGGACGAGGUUUAUGGUUCGAGUCCAUACGCAGCCACCA
rnacentral:tRNA from 1 species